rnacentral:misc_RNA from 1 species
UUUCCGUAGGUGAACCUGCGGAAGGAUCAUUAAUGAAUGAAUGUAGAGUUGGUUGUAGCUGGCCUCCCCGAGGCAUGUGCACACCUUCUCUUUCAUCCACACACCCCUGUGCACUUGUGAGACGGAGGCAUAUUCCUUUAAUUAGGAUGGUCCCCGUCUUCUAUCACAUAAAAUCUAAUUUAUUUAAAACUGAAUGUAAUUGAUGUAACGCAUCUAAUACAAAGUUUCAACAACGGAUCUCUUGGCUCUCGCAUCGAUGAAGAACGCAGC